rnacentral:misc_RNA from 1 species
GAAAUGCGAUAAGUAAUGUGAAUUGCAGAAUUCAGUGAAUCAUCGAAUCUUUGAACGCACCUUGCGCUCCUUGGUAUUCCGAGGAGCAUGCCUGUUUGAGUGUCAUAAAUCUCUCAACUCCCUCCAGUUUGUCUGGUAGGGGCCGUUGGAUCUUGGGGGUCUGUCGGCUCUUGUGGGUCGACUCCCCUGAAAAGCAUUAGCAGUCGUGCUGUCUGCCGCCGGUGUGAUAGUUAUCUAUGCCGUCUGGUCCAGCGUAUGCGUUGUCUGCUCCGAACAGUCCGAACAGUCGGACAACACAAAUUGACCACUUGACCUCAAAUCAGGUAGGACUACCCGCUGAACUUAA